CCUACGGGUGGCUGCAGUGGGGAAUAUUGGACAAUGGGCGAAAGCCUGAUCCAGCCAUGCCGCGUGUGUGAAGAAGGCCUUCGGGUUGUAAAGCACUUUCAGUGGGGAAGAAAGCCUUGGGGCUAAUACCCUCGAGGAAGGACAUCACCCACAGAAGAAGCACCGGCUAACUCCGUGCCAGCAGCCGCGGUAAUACGGAGGGUGCGAGCGUUAAUCGGAAUUACUGGGCGUAAAGCGCGCGUAGGCGGUCUGAUAAGCCGGUUGUGAAAGCCCCGGGCUCAACCUGGGAACGGCAUCCGGAACUGUCAGGCUAGAGUGCAGGAGAGGAAGGUAGAAUUCCCGGUGUAGCGGUGAAAUGCGUAGAGAUCGGGAGGAAUACCAGUGGCGAAGGCGGCCUUCUGGACUGACACUGACGCUGAGGUGCGAAAGCGUGGGUAGCAAAUAGGAUUAGAUACCCUGGUAGUC
rnacentral:rRNA from 1 species